GAGUUUGAUCGUGGCUCAGAUUGAACGCUGGCGGCAUGCCUUACACAUGCAAGUCGAACGACGCUAGGGCGAACUCUAGCGAGUGGCGAACGGGUGAGUAAUACAUCGGAACGUGUCCUGUCGUGGGGGAGUAACCAGUCGAAAGACUGGCUAAUACCGCAUGACCUCGCAAGAGAAAAGCGGAGGACCGCAAGGCUUCGCGCGAUUGGAGCGGCCGAUGUCGGAUUAGCUAGUUGGCGGGGUAAUGGCCCACCAAGGCGACGAUCCGUAGCUGGUUUGAGAGAACGACCAGCCACACUGGGACUGAGACACGGCCCAGACUCCUACGGGAGGCAGCAGUGGGGAAUUUUGGACAAUGGGGGCAACCCUGAUCCAGCCAUGCCGCGUGUGUGAAGAAGG
rnacentral:rRNA from 1 species